UAGGGAAUCUUCGGCAAUGGGGGGAACCCUGACCGAGCAACGCCGCGUGAGUGAAGAAGGUUUUCGGAUCGUAAAGCUCUGUUGUUAAGGAAGAACGAGUGUGAGAAUGGAAAGUUCAUGCUGUGACGGUACUUAACCAGAAAGGGACGGCUAACUACGUGCCAGCAGCCGCGGUAAUACGUAGGUCCCGAGCGUUGUCCGGAUUUAUUGGGCGUAAAGCGAGCGCAGGCGGUUAGAUAAGUCUGAAGUUAAAGGCAGUGGCUCAACCAUUGUAGGCUUUGGAAACUGUUUAACUUGAGUGCAGAAGGGGAGAGUGGAAUUCCAGGUGUAGCGGUGAAAUGCGUAGAUAUAUGGAGGAACACCGGUGGCGAAAGCGGCUCUCUGGUCUGUAACUGACGCUGAGGCUCGAAAGCGUGGGGAGCGAACAGG
rnacentral:rRNA from 1 species